rnacentral:rRNA from 1 species
ACGUAGGGAGCAAGCGUUGUUCGGAUUUACUGGGCGUAAAGGGCGCGUAGGCGGCAAAUCAAGUCAUCUGUGAAAUCCCCGGGCUCAACCUGGGCACUGCAGUUAGAACUGGCAAGCUAGAGUAGGGUAGAGGGGUGUGGAAUUCCUGGUGUAGCGGUGAAAUGCGUAGAUAUCUGGAGGGACAUCAGUGGCGAAGGCGACACCCUGGACUCAUACUGACACUGAGGUGCGAAAGCGUGGGGAGCAAACAGGA